UAAACUUUACCAUUCUGUUUGGGAACCGCCUAUAAUGUGUGUAGCAUGGAAGAAAUCGCCAUCUCUUAGUUGUUAUGUUGACAAUAAAAGUAUAUCGCUCAAAAUAUUAUUCACCUCUAUUUCAAAACCGAGCUCUAGCACCUCUACAAAUCCCUGCUUCCCUCUGCGGAGGGCCUAUCUAUUUACUUUUAUGUUGAGUCAUCAUCCUCUUAUUAAAAAACACCAGUUGGAGAGCACCACUGUCAUUUGCAUUCAUUACUGUUAGUUUACAUUGAGUGUGACUUGACUGGAUCUCUUUUGUGACACCCUCGAUUCAAUCAUACACGCAAAUGUGUACGAUCAAGAUCAAGGACUCACGGGAAGAUAUCGCAACACAACUCUAGACACAAAUUAAAAUAAUACAAGCUUUAUAUUACAAGCCAGGGGCCUCGAAGGCUCGAAUACAUAAGCUCGAAUACACAAGAGUCAGCGGAAGUAACAAUAUCUGAGUACAGACAUAAGUUAGACAAGUUUGCCUUAAAAAGGCUAGCACAAAAGCAACAACGGUCGAAAAGGCAAGGCCUCUUGCCUGGGAGCCUCCUAACUACUCCUGGUCGUCGGCGGCCUCCACGUAGUAGUAGGCAUCCUCAGGGUAGUAGUAGUCAUCAGUGGCGUCGUCUGGCUCCUGGGAUCCGUCAUCUGGUCGCAACAAUCGGGUAUGGGGAAAAAAGAAGUAGCAAAGCAAUCGUGAGUACUCAUCCAAAGUACUCGCAAGACUUACAUCAGAUCUAAAUUAAGUACGCAUCUGUAUCAAAGGAAUGGAUUGUAUCUGUGGACUAAACUAUUGAAUGCCAGAAGGGAAGGGGAGAGCCUAGCCUAUCGAAGACUAGCAUCUUCUGGAAACCACCAUCUUGCAGCAACAGGAGGGAGUAGGGUAGCAUAAAGUAAAGUAGUAGAAGUGUUACCAACCUCGGCCAGAGACCCUUUCUCGACUGCCUGCGAGAAAGCAAUCCCAGAGCCAUACUAUCCAGUUAUCAUCUCAUAACCAAGUCUCAUCUCCAUGUCUCAUCUCAAGUAUCCUGUUCUAGUUGUAUCGAUCGGGAUACAACUCCAAGUGUCCGUUACCGUAGGACAGGCUAUCGAUAGAUGUUUUCUUCCCUACAGGAGUGCACCAACUUACCCACCACGCUCGAUUAACUCCGGCAGGACACACUUUCCUGGGUCAUGCCCGGCCUCGGCCAAACAAUACGCCGCAACCCGACCUAGGCUUAAUAGAGAGGCCAGCACGCCGGACUAAACCUAUGCCCCCAGGGGUCAUGGGCCAUCUCCCCAGAAACUCCUGCACGUUGCGAGGGCGGCCGGUGAGCAGACCUAGCUACCUCCUUCAACAAGGCAGGCGCUUACGCAGUCCAACCCGGCGCGCGCCGCUCAGUCGCUGACGUCUAUUAAGCUUCGGCUGAUGUAUACGACGCAGAACGCCCAUACUAUGCCCACGUGAUGGUUAGUGCUAUCAGGCCAGAGGCCCCUCGAAUCAAAUAUCCAAAUCAUAGUGGAUUAGGAACGCGCGGUAACGAGCAGGGACUCACGAUCGAUGUGACCCCGUCGCCCCAUCUCGAGUACUUGCGGCAAGGGCUAAGAAUGCCCGGCCACGCCUCGUAAGUAUCUCGCGGGCACCUUCCAGGUCAACCCGACUCCACAUCACUCGUUAUUAAGUUCGCGCGGGUACCCCUCAGGGUCGACCCGUCUUUAGUAACAUGGUUCAGUAUAAAGUCAUAGUAACCAUAGUAACUGUGUGUCUAACACUAAAGGGAAAACCUGAGGAAUCACCCCCGGUGAAUUCCAUUCGAUGUUGUCAUCAAGGUGAACGUAAGAGGAUCCACCCUCGAGGUUCACGUUUGAUGGGUUGCACGACAGAGCCGUAACGGAAGUGGUUAAGGAGGAAAUCACCCUCGAUGACCUCGACCGUAUAGCUACACUACGGAGAUCUCAUCGGGAGUGAUGUAAGAGGUUCCACCCUCGGCACUCGAUGGUAACUCUGCAGAGUCGUACAACUAGGGGGUGAUGUGCGGUGUCGGGGCCUGGACGUCGAUCACGUUGAUCGAGUCAUCGAACAUAAAGCGAGGCAACUGGAACAAGAUGGGGGUCACUGAUGGAUCACUAACCAACCUAUACUAAGCAGUUUAGGAUAAGCAGGUAAAGUAUGAAAGCGGGUAACAAAACAGGCUAUGCAUUAGAGUAGGAUCAUACAGAAAGCAGUAGCAGUUCUAAUGCAAGCAUGAGAGGGAAAGAAAUGGGCGAUAUCGAAAUGCUCAAGGGGGUUUGCUUGCCUGGUUACUCAGACAAGGAGGGGUCGUCGGUGACGUAGUCGAUCACAGCGGCAUCAUCGGUCUCGGGGUCUACCGGAGAGAAGAGGGGGAAGAAACAGUAAAUAUAAAGCAAACAUAGCACCACAAAGCAAAACAUGGCAAUAUGAUGUGCCGGGUGUGACCUAACGCGAUAGGAGGUGAUACCGGCGAAGGGGGGAAACAUCCGGGAAAAAAUCCCAGGUGUUUUGCAUUUUUCGGACAGAUGAAACGGAGGAAGAAAGUUGCGUGUUCGCUAUGCUAGGGAUGCGUGGCGAACGAACGGGCUACAUAUCCAGAUUCGUCUCGUCGUUCUGAGCAACUUUCAUGCACAAAGUUUUUCCAUCUGAGAUACGGUUUAUUUUCUAUGAAUUUUCAAAGUUUUAAAACAUUUUCUGAAUUUCUAAAAUAUAUCUAAAUUCGAAUUUAAACAGUGUACUACUUUUUAUACACACAGCUAGCCUAUUAGAAUGACAUGUGGGGUCCAGUGGCUGAGUCAGCAUACACAGUCAACAAGUCCAUAGUCAAUGUUUGACUUGGUUAAAGUGUGAAUAGUGGCCAUGGGGCCUACUUGUCAUUGACUACUAUUUUAACUAAAAGGGGGGUAUUUAGUGUGAGGGACCACCUGUCACAAACACAUUAGGCUAUUUAACAUAAAAAGUAGCAGCCCUAAACUAAUCUAAUUAGUACUAACUAAUCUGGAUAGGGCCGGCCUCAUACCCAGAAUACACGCACGCACACCACACAACACACUCGGCCAUGGCUAUGGCCAUGGCCUGUAGCAGCAGCAACCGGCUGUAGAAGUACCUAGCAGCAGCAGUGCAAUGCAGCAGUAGUUAGUGGGAGCAGGGCAGCACGACAGCAAGUAGUAGCGGCAGUAGUCGAGCAGCAACGGCAGCGCAGCAGCAGCAAGAAGUAGCAGGGCGAGCGCGGGUGCCGCGAGCGGCGCGGGCGCUCGGCCAGGGUGCGGCGGGUGCUCGCACGCACGUGCGAACGGACACAGCCAGGGGCGAACGAGGGCGCGGGCUGCAGCAGGCAUGCGACAGCGGGCACGGGCGUACACAGGCGGCAGGGGCAUGCGGGUGCGUGCGCGGACGCGAUGCUUCGGCCAUGGCGGCCUCAACGAGCACAGGCAACAUACGGCAACGGAUCGACGGGGCAAAACAGGGGAAUCAAGGGAGGAGCUCACAGUGAGCACGAAGGCGAGGUCGGGGAGGCCGGAGGUGGACCGGAGCGGCGGCAAUCGACGCCGGACGCCGGCGAUGUACGCGUUGAAGACGAGGUCGAUGGCGAGUGUACGGGCCUUCCUUGCUCGAUUCAGUGCUCGGGGUAGACGAAGUAGACAACGACGGUUCUCCUGGACCUCUUGGCGCGACGAGGGGAGGCCGGUGGCCGCGGGAUCGACGAGAGGCGGCGACGGCGUCUCGGGCGCGUGUUGUGGAGAGGAGAGCGAGCGAGGGGAAGUGGAAAAGCAGCUAGGGUUUGUCCACGACAUUGGGGACGGCCUCCUUAUCCUCUCCAAGGCGCUCUGUAGCGCCAGGCGUCGGC
rnacentral:lncRNA from 1 species